rnacentral:rRNA from 1 species
AACGAACGCUGGCGGCAUGCCUAACACAUGCAAGUCGAGCGAGGACUUCGGUCCUAGCGGCGGACGGGUGAGGACCGCGGGGGAACGUGCCCUUUGCUUCGGAAUCGCUCUGGGAAACUGGGACGAAUACCGGAUGAGCCCUUUCGGGGAAAGGUUUAUCGUCGAAGGAUCGGCCCGAGUUGGAUUAGGUAGUUGGUGGGGUAAUGGCCUACCAAGCCGACGAUCCAUAGCUGGUUUGAGAGAAUGAGCAGCCACACUGAGACUGAGACACGGCCCAGACUCCUACGGGAGGCAGCAGUGGGGAAUCUUAGACAAUGGGGGAAAUCAUGAAGUAGCCAUGCCUCGUGAGCGAUGAAGGCCUUAGGGUUGUAAAGCUCUUUCAGCUGGGAAGAUAAUGACGGUACCAGAAGAAGAAGCCCCGGCUAACUACGUG